GGAAACCACUUGAAACAUUUGUUGUUUUGAGCUAUUUCAAUGACUUUGAUUUGAUUUGUUCAUUGCAAACAACUGAAAGUCUGUACAUUUUGUAAAUUACGAUUUGCAAUGUGGGUUGAAUAAUUUUUAUUACAACUGUGUAUAUAUAUUGACAUGUGUAUACAUAUUAAUGUUUACAUUAUAAAUUAUUUUUAUUUUCAUAUAAUUUACUAUAUGCUUUCACAAGCUUGUGUACAGUAUAUUUGCAGAAACUGUUGUGGGCUUUGUUGCUUAGUUUCACUAUUUUUGUGUGUGUGUUUUUUCAUAUGCUUUUGAGGAGAAGUGUUCUCAUGAUCUUACUGACAGCUUAAACAGUCAAUAUGAGUUUAUCGCUUGAGGAAGCUGCUCGCUCUGAUUACUUGAACUGGUCUGAUUCCAACAGAACGGCUGUCAGAAUUCUUCAUCACAAUAUAUAUUCUCAUCUGAUUUCACUCAUAAUGUCAUAACAGUUCUGUUUAUUUUCUCAUUGUGUAUCUAUGUCAUUUGUUCUGGUUUUCUUUUUUGUAUCAUUAAUAAAUGCAUUUAAUAUCA